UUGAACCCCACCUCAUAAGAAAAAAAUCAACGACUACUUCUCCAGCCCCGGCCACUGGUUCGCGCAUGACAGAAGCAGUGUCGCGGAACCAGAUAGAGCUAGCAAGCAAUAAACAAACAUGUCGUUAAAUAUAGCUAAAUAUUGUGCCAUCCCAGGUUGUGGAAGAAUGCAGUCGCUGCAUAACCUUCCUUCGGAUUCUGUUAUUAGGAAUGCGGGGUUAAAGUUUAUUUUUAAAGAUGUUCCAGCUCAUGUGGGAAAAACAUGAACAAGGCACUGGAUUUGUGGAGCGACUAAAAUUAAAAAGCAGUGCUGUGCCAUCCAUAUUGGAUCCGAUAGGAAUGUCACAGCGAUCUUAUGAGAUACAGAAGACAAAAGUGAUCCCGAACGCUGUGUGGUGAAGUUUGCACGAACAUCCAGCUGAUUGUCCAGUAACAGGAAGCGGACUUAAAGAGCACCAUGACAUUGUAAAGAGCAGCAGAAAACUUAGAUUUGAGUUCCUGACUCUGUGGAUUGAAGCUUAGUGAUCUACAGCAAGGGUUCAGUGCUCUUGUCAGAAGAGCAAGUAGAACCAGAGUGGCUCCUCUCAUCUCAGAGGCUGGACUGGUGUGGAGUUCUUCUUCCAGAUACCUUGCUAGAUUUAUACACUCCGUAAGUGACGGAGGAAGGAACAGUUCGUGGGAAACACAAGGGCCAAUUCCCAGAGUUGCUGUCUAUGGGGGGAGUCAGAAAGCUCCUGGACCUCAUCAGAACUAUCUUAAUUGUGUUCAGAAGAUGAAUGGAGGUCCUAGGGUUAUAGUACGACUUCAGGAACACAAGAGAUACAGAGGACAAAAGUGAUCCCAAACGCUGUGUGACGUAACAUACAGGACCACUCAGUGGGGCGACCAAUGAAA